rnacentral:lncRNA from 1 species
CUCUGUUUACUUUGGCUCCAGUGCUGGCCCAUCCAGAUCCCUUUUUGGCAUUCAUAGUGGAGGUGGACGUGUCCAAGGCUGGGAUAGGAGCCGUGCUCUCACAGCGCUCGGGCACGCCACCGAAACUCCGCCCCUGUGCUUUCUUCUCGAAGAAGCUCAGCCCAGCGGAGCGUAACUAUGAUGUGGGGGACCGGGAGUUGUUGGCUGUGGUUAAAGCGUGGAGACAUUGGCUUGAGGGGGAUAAACACCCUUUUCUCAUCUGGACUGACCACCGCAACCUGGAGUACAUCCGGGAAGCGAGGAGACUGAAUCCUCGUCAGGCAAGAUGAGUGGAGGCGUGCUGCUGACCCACUCAACAUGUGUGACUGACUGACGCUGUGGAGGGAGCACCACCACUUUCAGCUCCUGGGGCUGCAGUACAACAGCCAUGACUCUCGAUGGAACACACUGCUGGAAUGGAUAACGAGGAAAUUACAAUCCUAUUAUAAAAUGUUUCUAUCUACUUUUUCUAAUGUUGAAAGUUGAGAUGAGAAUGGAGGGAUAGCCUAAAAUAAAAAUCAUGGUUUAUCCUCACAACUGCUGUAGCUUUAUGAAUGUGGUAGGAGGUAUAGCAGAAGUACGCAGGGAAUACUAACCAUAUUCACAUAAAUAAUGCCACAGUGAAUUUAAAAUUCAAAUAUGAAGAAGACAAUAAAAACGCAAGAAGGAAAGAAAUUAAGAAGAAGGUUAGACAGACAGAGUUGAAUGGCAGAGGCAGACAAAGGGAGCGUUCACAUGGUAACUACUCCAGAGAGAGGUGGUCAGCUUUGGGCAUGACUGAGUGUUCUGUCACCUCAUCACUCAGACCCUGACUGGAAG